GUUCUUGUAGUUGAGUUACAACAAUGAUUUUUCAUAUCAUAGGCCGCGAAAUUUUUGUGCAAGAAUU
rnacentral:tRNA from 1 species